rnacentral:rRNA from 1 species
UACGUAGGGGGCAAGCGUUGUCCGGAAUUAUUGGGCGUAAAGAGCGCGUAGGCGGUCCGAUAAGUCGGCUGUGAAAGUCCAGGGCUCAACCCUGGAAAGCCGGCCGAUACUGUCGGACUAGAGUCCGGAAGAGGCAAGUGGAAUUCCCGGUGUAGCGGUGAAAUGCGCAGAUAUCGGGAGGAACACCAAUGGCGAAGGCAGCUUGCUGGGACGGUACUGACGCUGAGACGCGAAAGCGUGGGGAGCAAACAGG